rnacentral:rRNA from 1 species
CAAUAGCGUAUAUUAAAGUUGUUGCAGUUAAAAAGCUCGUAGUUGGAUUUCUGAUCGAGACAUCAGGUCGGGUCCGAGAGGAUCAUGUACUUUGAUUUGUUUUGAUCAUCCUUGGGGAGAGCAUUUCUGGCAUUCAGUUGUCGGGAUUGGGAUCCUCAUCGUUUACUGUGAAAAAAUUAGAGUGUUCAAAGCAGGCCUCGGCCUCUGAAUACAUUAGCAUGGAAUAAUAAGAUAGGACUUUGGUACUAUUUUGUUGGUUUGCGCACCAAAGUAAUGAUUAAUAGGGACAGUUGGGGGUAUUCGUAUUCCGUUGUCAGAGGUGAAAUUCUUGGAUUUACGGAAGACGAACUACUGCGAAAGCAUUUACCAAGGAUGUUUUCAUUAA